GGUGCAACUUAUGCCAUAGUUUGUUAAGUUAAAUAAAAUAUCAGUUGAUAUCAGACAUCAUGAAAUAUAUAGCCACAUUAGCUUUAGUUUCACUGGACAAGUAAAAUCCUUGGCCCUGUGUGUAGAUGGAGGCAGAACUAGGAAUGUAAUGUUACAGUGAUGUUACACUUUAUGACCGCUCACACACUUGACCAUCGGUCCGGCCCUCUGACGCCAACAGAUCACCUCAGAGACGCUCUAUCAGAAGGUCUGCCAUAAAUGCCGAGGGUGUCAGUGGCAAAACAAAGAAGUGUGAAAGAAAAGAAAAAAAUAUGGACCAAUCAGAAAAUGCUGAAUGGUGUUAGGUGUGCUGGGUUUGGACGGUCACAUGACCAGUUUGUCCUAACUGACCCCAGACCAUCAUAAAGAUCCAGUGGGAGGACACAUGUUUGAUGGGACAGGCUGGACACCUAUCAUCCACCGCAGGCUUCUGACAUACACUGACACCUUGUGGACACUUGGAUCACACAUCACAUCUUGCCUUCAAGGCAAUAAAACAAGCGUGCAUCUGCACCCCCUGCCCACCUCCAGAGAGUUUCUCCUGCUCUGGUGUCACCCACAGUUCACCGUUCGUUGACACACUGCCAGCCGACGACCUGAUGGCGUUGGGGGGCGGCUCUGCCGAACGGUGCAUUCCAGGACAGAAAACACCUCUCUCCCAUCCCCAACACACGCUUUGUAACUGGAAGCCACAACACAGACAUGAGACUGUGCACACAAUAGGAGCUGGUGAGCAUGGCUUGAUGUGGAAAGAUUGAUAAGCUGUGAAAGCAUGAAUCAACAGUGAGAAAUGUUAAUGGGGUUAUUACGGCAUUACGCUGAUCAAUGAGCAUUUUAAGAACUUUUCAUGACUGAUGACGCCAUCACUUAUCACAUGAGAAAUACUUUAUUAUUGUCAAAGGACAUUUGAUGUUUGGACCCAUUGAGGUCAAACGUGGAAAGUCAAAAGUGCCAAGGAUGGGGCUGGUGUCCUAGGGGCCUUUGCCAGGGGUCUCGAGCUGAGAGGGACUCAGUGGCCUAAAAACAAGGACAAUAUAAUGUAGAGGAACUGUUUUAAAUGUGUGCCAGUGACUUGGCAAAAUGUGGAAUAAAUAAAUGAUACUGAAAAUUUAGCAUGUAAUUUGGUUAUGUAAUCUGGAGCAUACUACACCUACCAUGUUGUAAUUGUCAUGUGACCUAUCAUCAUCAGUUGUGUCACAUGACUGCCAUUCACAAAUCCUCUCUAGUGGCCUUAUGGGACAGUGAAGUGUCUAUCGAAAGCGCAUUUCACAAUUACAAAAUAGUAGGUCCCCCAAGUAGAUUUGGUCUACUCUUUUAUAGCUAUUAUGAAUUCUGACAUGCUACUUUUCUUGCACAGUUUUUCUGCCUACUAUAUAGUAAGGAAGCAUGCGAUUUUGGAUGCAGCUGUUGGGUGAGUUUAAAGCAGUCUUGUCUGUCUGUACAAACAAGGGGAGACAUAGCUGUGUUCGGAAAUGUGUUUAAUUCCAUUUGAUGCCACUAGUAGUGGAGAAAUGACACCAGUCAUCUUUCCAUUAUGAAUUUGGCCAAUUCUGAACAAAUUUGUCAAAUUGAUCAGCCCUUUUUUAAACGUAUUUUUGGUUCUUGUUUUGAUUCCUGAUUCUUUAUAAUAAAAAAAAUAUUAUUU
ensembl:lncRNA